rnacentral:rRNA from 1 species
CCUACGGGUGGCAGCAGUGGGGAAUAUUGCACAAUGGGGGAAACCCUGAUGCAGCGACGCCGCGUGAGUGAAGAAGGAUUUCGGUACGUAAAGCUCUAUCAGCAGGGAAGAAAAUGACGGUACCUGACCAAGAAGCCACGGCUAACUACGUGCCAGCAGCCGCGGUAAUACGUAGGGGGCAAGCGGUAACCGGAUUUACUGGGUGUAAAGGGAGCGUAGACGGCAGCGCAGGUCUGGUGUGAAAUCCCAUGGCUUAACCGUGGAACUGCUUUGGAAACUGUGCAGCUAGAGUGCAGGAGAGGUAAGCGGAAUUCCUAGUGUAGCGGUGAAAUGCGUAGAUAUUAGGAGGAACACCAGUGGCGAAGGCGGCUUACUGGACUGUAACUGACGUUGAGGCUCGAAAGCGUGGGGAGCGAACAGGAUUAGAUACCCGUGUAGUC